UACAGAGGGUGCGAGCGUUAAUCGGAAUUACUGGGCGUAAAGCGCGCGUAGACGGUUUUGUAAGUCGGAUGUGAAAUCCCCCGGGCUCAACCUGGGAACUGCAUUCGAGACUGCAUUGCUAGAGUAUGGAAGAGGGAAGCGGAAUUUCCGGUGUAGCGGUGAAAUGCGUAGAUAUCAGGAGGAACACCUGCGGUGUAGACGGCUUUCUGGACCAUUGCUGACGCUGAGACACGAAAGCGUGGGUAGCAAACAGG
rnacentral:rRNA from 1 species